GGCAUCUCGAAAAAAAAAAAUACACGUAUAUUUAGGAUAUCAUCCGUAUUAUCUCGGCAAAAAAGACUUCUCUUAUAAUAUUGAAGAUUUACCUGCGUCGAUGCAAUCCACAUAACUAUCUGGAGCUGCAGACCUCGUAUUAUACGAGCCAGAAAAAAGUUUUCAAAAGCCUGGAGAAUACAAUCAUUUAGUUUCAAGUUGGGUCAAGCAUUCAGGAUCAAAAGAAGCAUUAAAUGGCUGUGACUUGUUGGAUGCUGGACGCCCUGAUCUACACCGUGUCUGGACACUCAUGGCGGAUCCGGUUACACAGGCACAAAGCAUGUGGAGGAAUAGUCAUUGCUCACUAUGACUGCAUGGCUGGAUAAUUUGGAGCCCUGAGGGAUGAUGAUAUAAAAUGUACAACCAAAAGGGACAUACCUUCUAGAAGCUGGUAUGUACUCACUUGCCAU